UUGGGAUCCCUUUACGAAAUUGAAGAAGAUGGUUAUCUAGUCUUAAAUGUUUAGGUUAGUUAUUGUCUUAUUGAUACUUUAUCUUCAUGUUAUUUGUUUCUUUCUAGAUUUUUCCUACAAUCUGAUGUGCAAAAAAUGGGACUUAUUUUGCUUCUGUUGCAGAUCUCAUGUACAUGAUAUGCGCUAUUCCAAGCAAUGCUUUUGAAAAUGUGUGUUGCAUUCCCUUUGCUCACAACCAUUCUUGGCACUUUAAGUGGGAGAUAUGCUUACAUACCAUUCCAUUUAAGUUUCUUCAUAAUUUGAAUUAACUUUAUAUUUUCCUUUGACUACAAGUGUAUAUUCAAAAUUUCAUUAAUUGGUAGAUGCAUCAAAAAACAAGCUUAAUUUGGUAUGCUAGUUAUCUUUAGUAGCUAAUGUAAUUUGAUGCCUCAUGAAAAGAAAUCUCUUUAAUUGGCCUAACAUUACUGCAUAUUAUUUUUAUUUAGAGUUUUUAAUGCUUGAAAAUUAUUAAGAAUAAAGAGAGUGCCAUAAGGGUCCAAAAUUGUUUUUAUAAUCAUUACUUUUGAAAGUUAUACACUUUGGUACUUACUAGUUAUCAAGUUUUAAAUCAAUAUCCAAUGUUUGUUUCUUGUUUCAAAUGCUGAAGUGUUUUGUCAAGUAUGGAGGUGACAACCAGGCGAGAAGAAGAAAUCACAAACAUCUUGGCUUUGUUAAUUGGAUUAAGUAAGAGUUGGAUGGAGUCUGUUCCUCCAGACAUAAUGUCUUUUGUUAUGUUGGAUAUUUCAUCCAUUGAGUAAUAAAGCUUACACGUAUACAUUCUCAAAAAAAAAAAGUAAGAGUUGGAUACUAUUCUAUAGUAAGGUAUAUCUGGAUAUUCUUAUUAGUCUUCUGUCUAUUUUCCUCAUCAUUUUCUCCAUCCAUAAUAUUUUGUGCUGAAGCAACAUUUGACAAAGGGCCACAAAAGAAACUCUGUUUAUUUUUUUGUAAUGGUAGGAAGGCAAGUGUGAUGUUUCUUUUCUAGAGUAGUCUAUAUUAUAUCAUGGCAGAUGAAAGGUGAGCUUGGUAAUUGACCAAUUGUCAAUGUAUGAAUUUUCUAGCUUUAAUUUUUGAGGUUUAUCAUCUACUUUGGUAAUUAUCAACGUUUAGUGUUGUGGAUUUAGGAGGUUAAAAAUAGAAGCGUGUAGAUUUCUUGUCUUAGUGAUUGAAGAGUUAUGUGCCUUGGUAGAGGGGAAAGAGUGGGAUGAAGCUUGGUUUCUUACCAUUGGUUUGACAAUGGACAUACCUGAAUUAGAAGUCAAUAUUGGGAGGGUGGGUUCUGGGGGGGGUGUAGAGACUGAGGCAUUGAGGUCAUAUUACAUUGGUUGAAUCUAGGCUCUUCAAUUCUAAGUCACUCACAAGUACCUUUAUAUUCUUCUUGUGAUGCUGUUACAUUUCCAACCUUUAUGGGCCCAGGAAUGUUUUGAUCUCAUUCAAGAACAUCAUGCAAAAAUGUCCCAUUCUCAUUCAGCCUUAUCCAAUCUAAACAUCAUCAGCAGAAGGCUGUGUGUACAAAAGGUCCUUUAUCACUUCCAAGAUUCGGCCGCAAUAAGUUUAACCUGGAAUGCUGGUUUCUUUGAUCGUCUAUGUAGUUUGAUAACUGAUGAAAGCAAACUAGAUUUUUGUACAAGCCAAAUUCUUUCUCAGUGUGGAAGAGUGCAAAGCAUGGGAAGUGGCUGCCGGUAGGGAUGAAGAUAUUCUGAAUACUUUGGCUUCAUUAGCUAGAUUAAGUAACAAUCACAUAAUCUAUUUACCUGGAACAACAUUAUUGGAAGUGAAAUGAAUUUAUUAUUGGUUUAUCGUGACUUCUAUGUGGUCUCAUGUCAAUCAUGUCUCACUCAAGGAGUUCCCUCUGUUUUUUCCCAGCUUAAAGAUAUGGGCAAUUACAAAACACAAGACAACUAGAAGUGCUCCAUCCCUCUUCCUCCCCCCUCCUUUGUCUAAGAUAAAGUAUGUUACUUCUAAUUGAUGCUUAUUAUCCAGCCACAAGAAACAAUUCCCACUUUACAAGGGAGUUCCAAGGGCGAGCACUUGGACAUAUGAGCAUGGAUUCUGUACUGCCAAGGAAAUCACUGACAAGGCUCAUUAAGCCAGUAGCACAACCCGUUUUUGAAGUUAUUAGCAUGGAGAAUGUGGUGUUGUAUGCUAGAGUAUUAUUGGUGAUGAUCUAAAAGAUGGCCUCCAAUUUCAUUCUUCAUAGCCUUACUAUCCUCUAUUUUCUCCUUGUCACUAUGCUUAUA